rnacentral:rRNA from 1 species
GGACAGCCCGUCGAAAGGCGGAUUAAUACCGUAUGUUGUCAUGUUGAUGCAUAUUUUCAUGACCAAAGGCUUCGGCCGGUAAAGGAUGGGGAUGCGUCUGAUUAGCUUGCCGGCGGGGUAACGGCCCACCGGGGCGACGAUCAGUAGGGGUUCUGAGAGGAAGGUCCCCCACAUUGGAACUGAGACACGGUCCAAACUCCUACGGGAGGCAGCAGUGAGGAAUAUUGGUCAAUGGGCGCGAGCCUGAACCAGCCAAGUAGCGUGCAGGACGACGGCCCUAUGGGUUGUAAACUGCUUUUAUACGGGGAUAAAGUAUGCCACGUGUGGUUUAUUGCAGGUACCGUAUGAAUAAGGACCGGCUAAUUCCGUGCCAGCAGCCGCGGUAAUACGGAAGGUCCGGGCGUUAUCCGGAUUUAUUGGGUUUAAAGGGAGCGUAGGCCGGGUUUUAAGCGUGCCGUGAAAUGUCGGGGCUCAACCUUGACACUGCGGCGCGAACUGGAGUCCUUGAGUGCGCGGAACGUAUGCGGAAUUCGUGGUGUAGCGGUGAAAUGCUUAGAUAUCACGAAGAACCCCGAUUGCGAAGGCAGCAUACGGCAGCGCUACUGACGCUGAAGCUCGAAGGCGCGGGUAUCGAACAGGAUUAGAUACCCUGGUAGUCCGCGCGGUAAACGAUGAAUGCCCGCUGUUGGCGAUAUAUUGUCAGC